rnacentral:rRNA from 1 species
GAAUUUUUGACAAUGGGGGCAACCCUGAUCCAGCCAUCCCGCGUGUGCGAUGAAGGCCUUCGGGUUGUAAAGCACUUUUGGCAGGGAAGAAAAGGCUCUGGCUAAUACCUGGAGCUGCUGCCGGUGCCUGCAGAAUAAGCACCGGCCACUCACGUUCCUGCUGCCGCGGUAAUACGUAGGGUGCAAGCGUUAAUCGGAAUUACUGGGCGUAAAGCGUGCGCAGGCGGUUCGGCAAGAAGGAUGUUAAAUCCCAGGGCUUAACCUUGGAACUGCAUUCUUAACUGCCGGGCUAGAGUAUGUCAGAGGGGGGUAGAAUUCCGCGUGUAGCAGUGAAAUGCGUAGAGAUGCGGAGGAAUACCGAUGGCGAAGGCAGCCCCCUGGGAUAAUACUGACGCUCAUGCACGAAAGCGUGGGGAGCAAAC